CUAUCAUGCAGUCGAGCGGACAGAAGGGAGCUUGCUCCCGGAUGUUAGCGGCGGACGGGUGAGUAACACGUGGGUAACCUGCCUGUAAGACUGGGAUAACUCCGGGAAACCGGAGCUAAUACCGGAUAGUUCCUUGAACCGCAUGGUUCAAGGAUGAAAGACGGUUUCGGCUGUCACUUACAGAUGGACCCGCGGCGCAUUAGCUAGUUGGUGAGGUAACGGCUCACCAAGGCGACGAUGCGUAGCCGACCUGAGAGGGUGAUCGGCCACACUGGGACUGAGACACGGCCCAGACUCCUACGGGAGGCAGCAGUAGGGAAUCUUCCGCAAUGGACGAAAGUCUGACGGAGCAACGCCGCGUGAGUGAUGAAGGUUUUCGGAUCGUAAAGCUCUGUUGUUAGGGAAGAACAAGUGCAAGAGUAACUGCUUGCACCUUGACGGUACCUAACCAGAAAGCCACGGCUAACUACGUGCCAGCAGCCGCGGUAAUACGUAGGUGGCAAGCGUUGUCCGGAAUUAUUGGGCGUAAAGGGCUCGCAGGCGGUUUCUUAAGUCUGAUGUGAAAGCCCCCGGCUCAACCGGGGAGGGUCAUUGGAAACUGGGAAACUUGAGUGCAGAAGAGGAGAGUGGAAUUCCACGUG
rnacentral:rRNA from 1 species